rnacentral:misc_RNA from 1 species
GUUUGUGACCAUUUUUCUCUUGUUUCUUUUCAUAAUUGCCUUCUCCUCUACCACCAAUGGAGCAAUAUAUAGAAUUCAUAGCUUAAGGCCCCAUCAAGAAACCAAUGAUGUCAUGCAUGUUUUUGAACCUACUACUUAUAGUCUCCUCCCUAAAGGCUCUCCCAUUCCACCUUCAGGGCCAUCAAAGAGACACAAUGACUACGGAGGAUAUGAUAAAGGUCCGGACGCUCCGGCGAAGGAUGGUGGUGAUGGUGUCUUUCCAUGAGUAUUCCAAGAGUUUGCAAGACCUUAAUUAGAGAGAUUGUGAUCAUGUAUUCGCUCAGUUGGUAAAUGAGUUUCUUUCUGUAUUAAUAUAAUUUUAUGCACGCAUGAAUGAUAAUAUUAGUGUGUGUGGGAAAGAAAACACAGGGUUUUGUGAUUCUAGAAUUCAAACUUUUUUUUUCCUUGAUUUUUCAUUAUUAGAUGUAUUUUCUUCUAUCU